AAAUGAAUAGACGGGGACCCGCACAAGCAGCGGAGCAUGUGGUUUAAUUCGAAGCAACGCGAAGAACCUUACCAGGGCUUGACAUGCCGAUGACAGGUAUAGAGAUAUACCCUCCCUUCGGGGCAUUGGACACAGGUGGUGCAUGGUUGUCGUCAGCUCGUGUCGUGAGAUGUUGGGUUAAGUCCCGCAACGAGCGCAACCCUUAUUAUUAGUUGCCAUUAUUAAGUUAGGCACUCUAAUGAGACUGCCGGGGUAACUCGGAGGAAGGUGGGGACGACGUCAAAUCAUCAUGCCCCUUAUGUCCUGGGCUACACACGUGCUACAAUGGCCGGAAACAGAGGGCAGCUAAGCCGCGAGGUGGAGCUAAUCCCAGAAACCCGGUCCCAGUUCGGAUUGUGGGCUGCAACCCGCCCACAUGAAGUCGGAGUUGCUAGUAAUCGCGAAUCAGCACGUCGCGGUGAAUGCGUUCCCGGGUCUUGCACACACCGCCCGU
rnacentral:rRNA from 1 species